UCGGGAAUUUUGGGCAAUGGGCGAAAGCCUGACCCAGCAACGCCGCGUGAAGGAUGAAGUAUUUCGGUAUGUAAACUUCGAAAGAAUGGGAAGAAUAAAUUGACGGUACCAUUUAUAAGGUCCGGCUAACUACGUGCCAGCAGCCGCGGUAAUACGUAGGGACCAAGCGUUGUUCGGAUUUACUGGGCGUAAAGGGCGCGUAGGCGGCAAAUUAAGUCAUCUGUGAAAUCUCCGAGCUUAACUCGGAACGGUCAGGUGAUACUGAUCUGCUAGAGUGCGGAAGGGGCAAUCGGAAUUCUUGGUGUAGCGGUGAAAUGCGUAGAUAUCAAGAGGAACACCUGAGGUGAAGACGGGUUGCUGGGCCGACACUGACGCUGACAGCGCGAAAGCCGGGGGAGCAAAC
rnacentral:rRNA from 1 species